AACGAACGCUGGCGGCAUGCCUAACACAUGCAAGUCGAACGAAGCCUUCGGGCUUAGUGGCGCACGGGUGCGUAACGCGUGGGAAUCUGCCCUUGGGUUCGGAAUAACAGUUAGAAAUGACUGCUAAUACCGAAUGAUGUCUUCGGACCAAAGAUUUAUCGCCCAAGGAUGAGCCCGCGUCGGAUUAGCUAGUUGGUGAGGUAAAGGCUCACCAAGGCGACGAUCCGUAGCUGGUCUGAGAGGAUGAUCAGCCACACUGGGACUGAGACACGGCCCAGACUCCUACGGGAGGCAGCAGUGGGGAAUAUUGGACAAUGGGCGAAAGCCUGAUCCAGCAAUGCCGCGUGAGUGAUGAAGGCCUUAGGGUUGUAAAGCUCUUUACCGGAUGAUAAUGACAGUACCGGGAGAAU
rnacentral:rRNA from 1 species